GACGAACGCUGGCGGCGUGCUUAACACAUGCAAGUCGAGCGGUAAGGCCCUUUCGGGGGUACACGAGCGGCGAACGGGUGAGUAACACGUGGGUGACCUGCCCUCAGCUCUGGGAUAAGCCUGGGAAACCGGGUCUAAUACCGGAUAUGACUCCAUGACGCAUGUUGUGGGGUGGAAAGCCUUGUGCGGCUGAGGAUGGGCCCGCGGCCUAUCAGCUUGUUGGUGGGGUGAUGGCCUACCAAGGCGACGACGGGUAGCCGGCCUGAGAGGGCGACCGGCCACACUGGGACUGAGACACGGCCCAGACUCCUACGGGAGGCAGCAGUGGGGAAUCUUGCGCAAGUGGGACGAAAGCCUGACGCAGCGACGCCGCGUGAGGGAUGACGGCC
rnacentral:rRNA from 1 species